rnacentral:rRNA from 1 species
UGCAAGUCGAGCGAACAGAAGGGAGCUUGCUCCCGGAUGUUAGCGGCGGACGGGUGAGUAACACGUGGGUAACCUGCCUGUAAGACUGGGAUAACUCCGGGAAACCGGAGCUAAUACCGGAUAGUUCCUUGAACCGCAUGGUUCAAGGAUGAAAGACGGUUUCGGCUGUCACUUACAGAUGGACCCGCGGCGCAUUAGCUAGUUGGUGGGGUAAUGGCUCACCAAGGCGACGAUGCGUAGCCGACCUGAGAGGGUGAUCGGCCACACUGGGACUGAGACACGGCCCAGACUCCUACGGGAGGCAGCAGUAGGGAAUCUUCCGCAAUGGACGAAAGUCUGACGGAGCAACGCCGCGUGAGUGAUGAAGGUUUUCGGAUCGUAAAGCUCUGUUGUUAGGGAAGAACAAGUGCGAGAGUAACUGCUCGCACCUUGACGGUACCUAACCAGAAAGCCACGGCUAACUACGUGCCAGCAGCCGCGGUAAUACGUAGGUGGCAAGCGUUGUCCGGAAUUAUUGGGCGUAAAGGGCUCGCAGGCGGUUUCUUAAGUCUGAUGUGAAAGCCCCCGGCUCAACCGGGGAGGGUCAUUGGAAACUGGGAAACUUGAGUGCAGAAGAGGAGAGUGGAAUUCCACGUGUAGCGGUGAAAUGCGUAGAGAUGUGGAGGAACACCAGUGGCGAAGGCGACUCUCUGGUCUGUAACUGACGCUGAGGAGCGAAAGCGUGGGGAGCGAACAGGAUUAGAUACCCUGGUAGUCCACGCCGUAAACGAUGAGUGCUAAGUGGUUAGGGGGUUUCCGCCCCUUAGUGCUGCAGCUAACGCAUUAAGCACUCCGCCUGGGGAGUACGGUCGCAAGACUGAAACUCAAAGGAAUUGACGGGGGCCCGCACAAGCGGUGGAGCAUGUGGUUUAAUUCGAAGCAACGCGAAGAACCUUACCAGGUCUUGACAUCCUCUGACAACCCUAGAGAUAGGGCUUUCCCUUCGGGGACAGAGUGACAGGUGGUGCAUGGUUGUCGUCAGCUCGUGUCGUGAGAUGUUUGGGUUAAGUCCCGCA